AUUUUAAGUAAAAAACGCAUGUCCUGCAUAAAAAACACACACACUUGAAACAGUUCACAAAAAAGACAUGAAUGCCAAUGAUGAUUUCAUUUGUUGUCAGAAGAUAAAAAAUUAACAAAAAAUAAUGUUCUUCACGAUGGCUACAAGAUUUUUGGAUUGAAUAAGAGCCAUAAAUCUCAAUGUAUCGUUAUCAGUCCAAUUAUUUUUGACGUCAGAUGAAAUACCUAAAAAAUAUAUUUGUAAAUCAUGCACGUUUACAGUAAACCAAAAACGUAAAUAGUGCAAGGUACAUUACCAACUAAUUUAGCUUUGAUUGCUUGAUAAGGUAAAUCACAAAAUCCUUCUUGUAAGGGUUGCAUGUUUUUCAAUGUCACUAUUCUAUAGUCACCAUAAUCACAUGCAUAAACUCCAAAUUGUGUUUUACUUAUAAUCUUAUAUACAUAAGCUCUAAAACAGAAUAAAUAUCAAACUUAAUAACUAA